rnacentral:rRNA from 1 species
UACGUAGGGGGCAAGCGUUGUCCGGAAUCAUUGGGCGUAAAGCGCGCGUAGGCGGUCUCUUAAGUCCGGGGUGAAAGGUUCAGCGCUCAACGCGAACAGUGCCCUGGAGACUGGGGGACUUGAGUGUGGGAGGGGGCAGUGGAAUUCCUGGUGUAGCGGUGAAAUGCGUAGAUAUCAGGAGGAACACCGAUGGCGAAGGCAGCUGCCUGGCCUAACACUGACGCUGAGGUGCGAAAGCGUGGGGAGCGAACGGG